rnacentral:tRNA from 1 species
AGUAAAAUGGCUGAUCUAAAGCAGCGGAUUGUAGCUCCGCUCAUGGAGGCUAAUCCUUCUUUUACUA